CUUCCUGUCAACAGAAGCCUUGGACUACUUUCACCGUCCUUCCUUCAUCCCUACCCCAAAUCAUCAGAAACCACAUAAGGUCGGAGAACUUCAGUAGUAGCAAAGAGGUCAGUACCCUGUCUAGCAUGCCAGAAGUUUGAGUAGGCAAAGACUGGCACCGGAGUUGAAGUCCAUCAAAGUUGUUUCAACAUGGCACAUGAUCGGGGUGGACCUCAUCAGACCCUUCACGAAAUCCAGGAAUGGCAACAGCUGGUGUCUGACGGUGACCGAUCACUUUACCAAGUGGGUGAAGCAAUACCCAUUAAGGACGAGACUAGCGAGGCCACCUCCAAGGCGAUGGUGGACUAUGUUCAACACCCACAGUUCUCCUGAGGUCAUGACCGAGGUCAUGAACGGUGGAACAAGAUUUUAUGCACUACAGGUGAAUUGCAGGUGAAGUCACUCAAUCCAGUCCCUGAGGCCUGUUGGGGGGACCAUACCAAGGACUCCUGGUAACAGCUAGCUGAAAGAGCUACCCGGAUUCAUAUCACACUGCGGGAGGGUAAGACACAUUGACACUGUCGAACAAGCACAGUGUCCGAGAGGAGAACUGGAAUUAACAGAAUUCCGGGGGCCAUCUCUCGGAUGAAGAUUUCCUUUUCCCCGUCAUUUCAUUCCUGUGUUUGUUCAUAGAAGUGAAAGUGUGUCUGGCUUCUUGCUGAUGAUGUUUUCUCUGGGUGAGGGUGGGGCUUUAUAGGUGGGCGGUCCAUCCCGAGCUGUCUGGUUGUGGGAGCCAUAUUCCUGAUACACCAUGAACCCCAAGAAGGCCAGAGGGUAAUAUUGACACAUAGUUAGACAAUGAGGAUUUUGUAUUAACCAAGCAUAAGAGAUCACUUGAUCUGGAUAAACAGGAAGUGAGAGUGGGAUUGGGAAGGAAGUCUCAGUGGAGUUCUAUGUAGACCAAAUGGGGCCUCUGACUCCUUGGCAGUUUAGGACUAAGAGCAGCCAUUGUGGAAGACAUUUAUGCAAGUCCCUGUGUAGCUCAUGGAAACAGGUUAUAGCUCACAUCAUGAAGGCUACAUAAAUCUACAUACCCAGUAUGGAAGAUGGAGAGUAGUGAAAGUAAGGGUUUCAGUUGACAACCUAGUGCCAUUCCGAGUACGAGAAGUUAGAGCAGAUGAUAGUCAGCCAGAAUACAAGCAGAGCCCCAGACAAAGCAGAUACUGACCGUAGAGUUGUCCAGAGCCAAGGCCGAUGUGGAUGGUUCAGAUGAAAGAUUUUAAGGAAGUGAUUGAGGUGGAAACUGUUAUGGGAUUCUAACCUAUGGUUAGGCAUGCCUCAGCAAAACCUCAGUUCAUAACCAUUUCCUUUCCAUUUGAUGGAAUUGCUACACCCAUGGAAUGGCCUGUAUGAUAAAGCGGUUCAAGAGGGCAGGAAGCUGAACUAUGACAGUUGCAUUGAUCUGUGAUAUGUGUCCCCAGGUGCCGAUUACAUCCAGAUUUUCUCUUUCACAGUGACAGGAUUUUAUGGAUCGCUACAUAACACACGGAUGGGAAGUAGGGGGAGUCAGUACAUGCAAUAGGACUGAGAAUGUUACAACCGAGAAGACAAUGAGGGACCUGACUGGCAGAUGAAAAGGUUUAGAGUGUGGAGGUAUGAAGCUGUGACCUAACCUGCCUACCAAUUGGAACGGUAGUUAUGCACUAGUGCAGUUAGGCAUGCUCUUUACCCUUACUCAGAUCCAAUUCAAAGCGAGGAAUUAGAUCUUAGCAGGAUUAGAGUCAAGUAUUUUCUAGUGGUCCACUCUCAAUAAGAAUGUGGACUAGAUCAAUUAUACCAGAGAUGUAAUGAAUGGCUUGGCAGAAUAGAAUAGAAUCGCGUUAGAUAUGUUAUAGGCAGAAAAGGGUGGGGUUUGUGUGUUAUUCGGGUCGAUGUGCUGUACGUUUAUCCCAAGUAACACAGCUCCGGAUGGAUCAGUGACCAAGGCCUUGGCAGGUUUAACCACCCUAGCUCACGAGUUGGCAGUGACCUCAGGGGUGGAUACUUUUCUGACUAAUUGGUUUGACAGUAUGUUUGGGAAAUGGAAAAAUUUCAUGAUUACUGUGUUAUGGGCUACCUUCACAUGUGUGACUGUAUUAGUUUUGUGUGGAUGUGGUUUGAUUCCGUGUGUGAAAGUUCUCAUUUCCAGGAUUCUGGAGAAAUCAAUGACACAACAGAUGAUGAAGUACGGAUCAAUUCUAAGCUUUGACCAGUGGAAGGAUGAAUGUAUGGGGCCGGAUCUAGUGGAGAACGAUUCCGGAUCUUUUAAUUAUGAGGAACCGAGAUUGGAUGAAACUGUAUUUGACGUUUAGAGAAUUUAGACGGUUACAUGUUUCAAUGUAUAGACUGUUUCUUUAAUGAAGAUUGUAACGAAAAUCCUAAAUAUAGAGUUAUGUUUCUGAUGAAGGUUAGAACAGUCAUUGAUGUUGAUGGAGUGUAAAUACAUGUAUUGAUGUGGUUUUAUUCUUGUAUGACAUUUAUGUUUCUAUAUGAUAUUUGAUAUGUAGCUAUGAAUUGUUUUGUUAUUUAGGGUGGAUUGUUAGGAAUUUUGUUAAUAAAUAGUUA